rnacentral:rRNA from 1 species
GACGAACGCUGGCGGCGUGCUUAACACAUGCAAGUCGAACGGUGACGAGGAGCUUGCUCCUCCGAUCAGUGGCGAACGGGUGAGUAAAAGGUAGGAAUCUACCCCUUGGACGGAGAUAGCUACUGGAAACGGUAGGUAAACUUCGAUAAGCCCGAGAGGGGAAAGUGGUGAGACAGCCGAAGGAUGAGCCUGCGGCCCAUCAGGUAGUUGGUGAGGUAACGGCUCACCAAGCCGAAGACGGGUAACCGGUCUGAGAGGAUGUCCGGUCACACUGGGACUGAGACACGGCCCAGACUCCUACGGGAGGCAGCAGCAGGGAAUCUUGGGCAAUGGGCGAAAGCCUGACCCAGCGACGCCGCGUGGAGGAAGAAGUCCUUCGGGGCGUAAACUCCUGGACUGGGGGACGAGGAAGGACGGUACCCCAGUAGAAAGGGGCGGCUAACUACGUG